rnacentral:rRNA from 1 species
AUUGAACGCUGGCGGCAGGCUUAACACAUGCAAGUCGAGCGGGGUGAUGGUGCUUGCACUAUCACUUAGCGGCGGACGGGUGAGUAAUGCUUAGGAAUCUGCCUAUUAGUGGGGGACAACAUCUCGAAAGGGAUGCUAAUACCGCAUACGUCCUACGGGAGAAAGCAGGGGAUCACUUGUGACCUUGCGCUAAUAGAUGAGCCUAAGUGGGAUUAGCUAGUUGGUGGGGUAAAGGCCUACCAAGGCGACGAUCGGUAGCGGGGCUGAGAGGAUGAUCCGGCAGACUGGGAGCGAGAAGCAGCGCAGACUAAUGCGGGAGGCAGCAGUGGGGAAUGUGGGACAAUGGGGGGAACCCUUAAACAGCCAUGGCGCUUGUGGGAAGAAGGCCUUAUGGUUCAAAAGCACUUUAAGCGAGGAGGAGGCUCGUUUCGUUAAUACCCAAGAUGAGUGGACGUUACUCGCAGAAUAAGCACCGGCUAACUCUGUGCCAGCCGCCGCAGUAA